GCAACUAUACCUGGCCAUGGGCCGGUUUGGCCUGUGAAGCAAAUCAGAACUGGCCCGGGUCAAACCCGGGACUGCCCCACUGAACCUGAAUCGGAGCCAGCCUGGUCAAACCAGCCGUUCCAAACCAGAAACUGCCCGAUUCAAAACUUGUUUUCAUUUCUUUUUUCUUUUUAAUUAUAUUGAGUUUAUAGUUGGUUCCUUUUAAUUUCUUACAUUGGAAACCAAGUAAAUGUAUUUAAAAAUUUAUUAUAGUUUAAUAAUACCAAGGUUCGAACCAAAACCGAACCGGAACCAUUUUUAAUCCGGAAAAUCCGGGCAUGUUCUGGGCCGAACGGCAAAGGUUGCCGUUCAGAACCGGCCCUUGGCUAGGUCUGAGAGCAACUACACCCAAAGUCUUAUUAUACUUGUGAUAACUGAGAGUUUAAAUAUAUGCUGCGAGUCACAAGUCACCCAUGAAUUCGAUUGUAGUGCUUUUCUUUUAGGGACAUGGUCCCAGUACAAAAGGACUCCUACAUUGCUGGACUUGGGACGCCGUUUAUGUGGUUUGAACUUGUGACCCCUGUAUCAUAAUGGAACAAUCUUAUCCCUGUGCCAAGGCCCCCAUUUUUUUUUUUUUUUU
rnacentral:misc_RNA from 1 species